UGCAUAAAGAAAUACUCCUUCCACUUUCAUCUUGUGUUUUCUUUUGGGUUGAUGGUUGUUACCUUGGCUUUUGUUUAUAUGUUGCACGAGUUGCUUUUUGUGUUGUUGUUGGCUAUAAUUAUCUUUGUAAGUGUGGUGUGUCCGUAUUGGCUCAUUAAAAUUCAGGAAUACAAGUUUGAGAUAAAUGGUCCUUGGGAUGAGGCUAAACUUUGUUUCGAUAUAACCGAUUAAGAUUCUUUUGGAUG
rnacentral:misc_RNA from 1 species